GACAGAGGGUGCAAACGUUGUUCGGAAUUACUGGGCGUAAAGCGAGUGUAGGCGGUGUGGUAAGUCGGAUGUGAAAGCCCCGGGCUCAACCCGGGAAGUGCAUUCGAUGCUGCCACGCUAGAGUAUCGGAGAGGUUGGUGGAAUUCUCGGUGUAGAGGUGAAAUUCGUAGAUAUCGAGAGGAACACCGGUGGCGAAGGCGGCCAACUGGACGAAUACUGACGCUGAGACUCGAAAGCGUGGGGAGCAAACAGG
rnacentral:rRNA from 1 species